rnacentral:rRNA from 1 species
GAUGAACGCUGGCGGCGUGCCUAAUACAUGCAAGUCGAGCGAACGGACGAGAAGCUUGCUUCUCUGAUGUUAGCGGCGGACGGGUGAGUAACACGUGGAUAACCUACCUAUAAGACUGGGAUAACUUCGGGAAACCGGAGCUAAUACCGGAUGAUAUUUUGAACCGCAUGGUUCAAAAGUGAAAGACGGUCUUGCUGUCACUUAUAGAUGGAUCCGCGCUGCAUUAGCUAGUUGGUAAGGUAACGGCUUACCAAGGCAACGAUGCAUAGCCGACCUGAGAGGGUGAUCGGCCACACUGGAACUGAGACACGGUCCAGACUCCUACGGGAGGCAGCAGUAGGGAAUCUUCCGCAAUGGGCGAAAGCCUGACGGAGCAACGCCGCGUGAGUGAUGAAGGUCUUCGGAUCGUAAAACUCUGUUAUUAGGGAAGAACAUAUGUGUAAGUAACUGUGCACAUCUUGACGGUACCUAAUCAGAAAGCCACGGCUAACUACGUGCCAGCAGCCGCGGUAAUACGUAGGUGGCAAGCGUUAUCCGGAAUUAUUGGGCGUAAAGCGCGCGUAGGCGGUUUUUUAAGUCUGAUGUGAAAGCCCACGGCUCAACCGUGGAGGGUCAUUGGAAACUGGAAAACUUGAGUGCAGAAGAGGAAAGUGGAAUUCCAUGUGUAGCGGUGAAAUGCGCAGAGAUAUGGAGGAACACCAGUGGCGAAGGCGACUUUCUGGUCUGUAACUGACGCUGAUGUGCGAAAGCGUGGGGAUCAAACAGGAUUAGAUACCCUGGUAGUCCACGCCGUAAACGAUGAGUGCUAAGUGUUAGGGGGUUUCCGCCCCUUAGUGCUGCAGCUAACGCAUUAAGCACUCCGCCUGGGGAGUACGACCGCAAGGUUGAAACUCAAAGGAAUUGACGGGGACCCGCACAAGCGGUGGAGCAUGUGGUUUAAUUCGAAGCAACGCGAAGAACCUUACCAAAUCUUGACAUCCUUUGACAACUCUAGAGAUAGAGCCUUCCCCUUCGGGGGACAAAGUGACAGGUGGUGCAUGGUUGUCGUCAGCUCGUGUCGUGAGAUGUUGGGUUAAGUCCCGCAACGAGCGCAACCCUUAAGCUUAGUUGCCAUCAUUAAGUUGGGCACUCUAAGUUGACUGCCGGUGACAAACCGGAGGAAGGUGGGGAUGGCGUCAAAUCAUCAUGCCCCUUAUGAUUUGGGCUACACACGUGCUACAAUGGACAAUACAAAGGGCAGCGAAACCGCGAGGUCAAGCAAAUCCCAUAAAGUUGUUCUCAGUUCGGAUUGUAGUCUGCAACUCGACUACAUGAAGCUGGAAUCGCUAGUAAUCGUAGAUCAGCAUGCUACGGUGAAUACGUUCCCGGGUCU